UGAGGAAUAUUGGUCAAUGGACGCAAGUCUGAACCAGCCACGUCGCGUGAAGGAAGACGGCCCUAUGGGUUGUAAACUUCUUUUGUAAGGGAAUAAAAGGAGUCACGAGUGACUUAUUGCAUGUACCUUACGAAUAAGGAUCGGCUAACUCCGUGCCAGCAGCCGCGGUAAUACGGAGGAUCCGAGCGUUAUCCGGAUUUAUUGGGUUUAAAGGGUGCGCAGGCGGGAGAUUAAGUCGGCGGUGAAAUUUUGCAGCUUAACUGUAAAAGUGCCAUCGAUACUGGUUUUCUUGAGUGUGGAUGAAGUAGGCGGAAUUUGUGGUGUAGCGGUGAAAUGCAUAGAUAUCACAAGGAACACCGAUUGCGCAGGCAGCUUACUAAACCAUAACUGACGCUCAGGCACGAAGGCGUGGGGAUCAAACAGGAUUAGAUACCCUGGUAGUCCACGCAGUAAACGAUGAUUACUGGCUGUUUGCGAUAUACAGUAAGCGGCUGAGCGAAAGCGUUAAGUAA
rnacentral:rRNA from 1 species